rnacentral:rRNA from 1 species
CCUACGGGGGGCAGCAGUGGGGAAUAUUGGACAAUGGGGGGAACCCUGAUCCAGCCAUGCCGCGUGUGUGAAGAAGGCCCUCGGGUUGUAAAGCACUUUCAGUGAGGAAGAACGCCUGGUGGUUAAUACCCAUCAGGAAAGACAUCACUCACAGAAGAAGCACCGGCUAACUCCGUGCCAGCAGCCGCGGUAAUACGGAGGGUGCGAGCGUUAAUCGGAAUUACUGGGCGUAAAGCGCGCGUAGGUGGCUUGAUAAGCCGGUUGUGAAAGCCCCGGGCUCAACCCGGGAACGGCAUCCGGAACUGUCAAGCUAGAGUGCAGGAGAGGAAGGUAGAAUUCCCGGUGUAGCGGUGAAAUGCGUAGAGAUCGGGAGGAAUACCAGUGGCGAAGGCGGCCUUCUGGACUGACACUGACACUGAGGUGCGAAAGCGUGGGUAGCAAACAGGAUUAGAUACCCGUGUAGUC